AUUAUCGUGUGUUCAACACAACGUUACUAUAUGGCAACGCUGGCUUAAUAUCUUCAAUAAAUAUCAUUAAACGUCUUACGUGUAUGUCGUACGUGUGCCUCGAGAUAUUCAGAAAAUACGAUGACACACACACAAUAUAUAAGACCACUUUUAACGAUUUAAUUUAUCUUAUAACGAAGCCGGAGUUGGUAUCUGUUUACAAAAGUUCGCGAUACUUCCUAGACGCAAAGUCUGCUCUUUACGCUCCGAGUCAAGAAGUGAUCUCAUUUAAUUUCGCGAGAGAUCAAAGAUUCUGCAAUAAAAAAGAAAAAGAACUCGACAAAAUACUUAUUCAGGAGCACUGAGCAAAACUUACUUGGACCUCAUUACGGGAGGCUCUUAAGAAAAGAAGCUUAAGAAAAAAAAGCAUUAACAAAGAUACACUUCUCGUUUUGAGCGACGACAGAUCGCGAUACGAUCUCGAAGAUAGCAUUUGUCUAUGUGACUCUCUUUCUACUUGAUAUGUAGCUUCGCGGGGGGUAAGACCAGUGAGUAUCGUUCGAUACAUUAUCAGCUUGAAUUGUGGGAAAGCCCUGCCACUUGAAAUUAGAAAGAUUACGAAGUUCAAGAUGUCUGAUUAGGCAAUUUAAGUUAUCGACGUGACACUUUUAUCCAAAGUCAUUUGACGGAGAGAUUAUCGAAGCUUUAUUCACGCAAUAAUGGAUCACAGAGGAUUACAAUCUCAAGACCAACAGCCAAACAGCUGCUUAAAACUCUUCUAUUUACAAGUCGACCGCUCACGAUCUGAGGAAUCUUCCGCUUAUUACAUGUUGCGAAAGUGACCAAACCUGCUACGCAGCCGUGAACAGCGAUGACGAUUCCAUAAUCAAGUUUUCGUAUAUGUGAUAAAUACCGGGGGAAAGUCAUAUAUCCAAUUUUAUCGAAUUAUAUCAAAAAUGUCAGAUAUAAAAUUGCCAUUUAUAAUUACGUCAAAUCAGAUGUGGUUAGACAUAGUUAGAUAAAACGUAAUAUAAACAUCUUUUUCCCCGGGUACUUACAAUACUAAAUGACACACUCACAAUACUAAAUUGUUAUUCGUCAUAUUUAUUAAUAAAUGACAUAUACGAGGAAACAUUAUUACCUGCCGGUUUCCUCUUGUCUGUAUGUUUAAAAAUAUUGUUUUCUUAUUGUUCAUUAUGUAUAUAAUUUACAUAAUGGUCAAGUAUUUUUUAGUUGUUCGCACGUUUGGUAUCACUUAAUUCUAUUCUUGUAUUACUAUGUUUAUAAGAUUUAUUUCAAAAGGUUGUCAAUUGUAAGUUGUUUUUCUAUUUUUUUAUACCUACGACUAGUACACAAUUGUACAUGUGUCUUUAAAUUUUGCGUAUUAUUGUUUUCAGCGAAUAUAAGCUGCUUACAAUGUACGCAUUCUAAAGUAUCUCGGUUUUUAAUGCUAAAAUGAUCUUUUAAUUUCGUCUGAUUGUUAAGAAAAGUUAUUUUAUGCUUCACGUACACUAAAUACCAAGGCUAAAUUUUCUUGGAAUCUUUGCGUUUCUCUUCAGUGGAUCGUCCGUGUACGGGGCACUUGAUCCACGUUGAUCCACGUGCAAACGAUCAUACUGUUAGUUUUCAGAAGCAUUAAUUUUCCAUACAGUUAAUUCAAUGUACAGCCGAACCUUCACACAAAUCUUCAGCAUAGAUUAAAGGGCUCCCCCAAAAAUAUAUAUAUUGAGCACCUUCGACAUCAAAAUUUAUAACAAAAAUACACAUUUUGUUGUAUACCGUUUAUAUAAAAUUUACAACUGCAUACACCUCAAUACAUUAAUAUUUAGCAUUUAAAAAUACGAUGUAUUUUUAGCACUAGUCAUAAUUGUUUAAUAUCAAUUUCACUUUAAAGUUUUCUCGCGAACAUCUCCGAAGGGUACCUUAGAUAUAGAAAACUUGUGGAUUACGAAGAUGUAAAGUCGAAAAGUGGCAUUUCCAGAGGUGUCAACGGAGGUAAAGGA